CCUCAUUUUCAUCUUUUUGGGUCUGACUUUGAGUUUCCUUUCAAAUCUGUCAGUCGAGUUUUUAACAAAAUCAGAAUAAGAAAAAAUCUAAGCUAAUUCUACCAAAGUUUGAGCACCUUUUUUCCUUUAAAAGUGUCUUUAAAAGCCUUCAAAACGGAGCCGUUCGAUUCCUGAUGGCGGAUCUGAAACCCACAGCGAGAAAGUAUUGAGCUCUGCAGAAAAGCUGACACAUCGACUGGUAUCAGACAGUGUGAAGCCUGCAGCGUGUAUUCAUGUGAAAGGAGCCAAAGCUUUCAGCCGCAGCACAAUCGUCCAGCCUGCAGCCUUUCAGCGGCGUCUGCUCACACUGUGGAGUGGUCGCAGAAAGUUUCAGGUCUGAAUCCCAGCAGGUGAGGCUCAUGUCUGUGGGGGUUUUCAGGACACUCCGAGCCCCUCCCACAGCCAAAAAACCCUCGUUAGCCUCAAGACUAAACCUUAAAAACAUCAAAUCUCUCCGAGGACUUCAGUCUACGUCCAUGUUCACAAAACUGACCUCUGAGAAAAUGUUCAGUACGAUGUAACAAAUAAAUCUAAAGCUUUUGUUUGAUCUUGAAUCUCAUUGUAAGAUAAAGACCUCAUGAUGGUCAUUCCACGAGUACAAUAAAAACUUAAAAGUGCUCUUUGGUUUGUGUAAUACAGAGCCCCUAAAGAGACAAUGAA